GGUGCCGUAGCCAAGUGGUUAGGCAACGGUUUGCAAAACCGUCACACACCGGUUCGAAUCCGGUCGGCACCUCCA
rnacentral:tRNA from 2 species